rnacentral:lncRNA from 1 species
CAGCUUUUCCGAACAGCAGUUUUUGGAAUUGCUUGUUCCGCCAAAGCACAGGACAUAUGAAAACAGAACAUAUAACGUCACGUACAUUUUAAAAGUUUCUACAAAAUUCACCUUAGAAAUCUCCGAAAUCAUAUAUAUAGCAAGCAUAACAUGCUAAACAUAAUAAUAUAUUAUAUAAUAUUUCAACUAUGCUUAAAAGUCUCCGAGAAAAAAAUGGUCUCCGUAAAAUUCAACACUUCGUUUAAGAAGAAUCUAAAAACAUACCAUAGCCAAGUAGGAUGGAAGUCAUGGAAGCUAAAAUAGCACAGAUAAAUGCAUACUUAUUUCUUUUAGGUUUUUUGGG